rnacentral:lncRNA from 1 species
CUAAAAACCUUUAUUUAAAAUCCAGGAACAAAUAUUCCAACUUCCAUACAACAAAAUGACCCUGCAGAAUACCGGAAAACAGUGUCUAAGUAGUCUGAACUUUUCAGUUAAGAAUCUGUAACCUAGUUUUGGGAAAAGAGAAUGAAAGCAGGUUGAAACAAAGACUUCCUCCUUACAAAACAAAUAAUAAAAUUAGAUCCAUUCUUCAGUUUAAACUCUAACAUGUUUUCCUAGAAAACUUUGGUGAUUUCUGAAAAAGACCAACUCUGAGGUUGACUACCCAUGAGCACAAAGAAUGCAUUUAAAAAUAACACCCAAGUGGGACAUGGCACAAGGCUCAGCCCAUGGCAGGUAAAUGGGAUAUCCCUUAGAAUGAGGGGGCUCGCAUGUUUCAAAACCAAAUUUAUGUCUCUAAGGAAGCACAAUAUGCAUAAUGCAUUUCCUUAUAUAAGGAUCAGAAUUUAGUUGCAACUUAAAAAAAGUUUAAUAUAAUAAACCUUAAAAUCAUUUGUCUUGUAUAAUGUACACAGAGUAGAUAGGGCAUUACGGUGCUUUCUGAAGAUCACUGGGUACCACUGUCAGAGAGAGCUGUCAUGCCCUCAAGGCAUAUUAAAUGAAAACUGAAAACGUAAGUUACAUUAAAUAAAAUGGGAAAAAAAUCUGGCUUAUACUACCUUUAAAAGCAAACUACUGUCAUUACACACACACAUUAUGGGACAAAGAGCAUGCAAUACAACAAACCAGUCAAAUUUUUAGUAUGUAAAAGGUAAGUGCAAUCAUGGUAUAAACAUCAAUAAUAAAUAACCUUGGAAGAGGUUAAUUCUCCAAAUAAACAGUUAUUUUAACAUUACAGUUUUUACCGUGUCAUCCUAACAGUGAUAUUCACAGCAAUGUUUUUUACCACUUGAUAGCUGCCUAUACACCACGUGAAGGGCCUAUCCCCAUGAGUUGAAAGUCAAGUGAAGAUUCAAAAAUCAACAUUUUCACUAUGAUAGGCUCAAAGUAUUUGUAUAAAUUACACUUUUCAAUUUACUGGCAUUUUACGUAAUUGUUUUGUUACCUAUUUUUAAUGCACUGCUAAUCUGAUGCUUAUUGCAGUAACAAUCAUAAUCCUACUAAUGUUAAUUAGGUUAAGCUUUAAUUUCUAAAAUCAGAGAAUUCAAUUUAC